GCCUUUGCGGAUUGGUGGCAAUCGUCCCGUUACAAUAUUGCGACCGGUUUGUUCAUCGUAACGGAAAGGAGGGGGUUCGAAUCCCCCCGAAGGUG